UAGGGAAUCUUCCACAAUGGGCGCGAGCCUGAUGGAGCAACACCGCGUGAGUGAAGAAGGGUUUCGGCUCGUAAAGCUCUGUUGUUAAAGAAGAACACGUAUGAGAGUAACUGUUCAUACGUUGACGGUAUUUAACCAGAAAGUCACGGCUAACUACGUGUCAG
rnacentral:rRNA from 1 species